rnacentral:rRNA from 1 species
AGAGCGAACGCUGGCGGCAGGCCUAACACAUGCAAGUCGAGCGGCCGUAGCAAUACGGCAGCGGCAGACGGGAGAGUAACACGUGGGAACGUGCCCAUCAGUUCGGAACAACCCAGGGAAACUUGGGCUAAUACCGGAUACGCCCUUACGGGGAAAGAUUUAUCGCUGAUGGAGCGGCCCGCGUCUGAUUAGCUAGUUGGUGAGGUAACGGCUCACCAAGGCGACGAUCAGUAGCUGGUCUGAGAGGAUGAUCAGCCUCACUGGGACUGAGACACGGCCCAGACUCCUACGGGAGGCAGCAGUGGGGAAUAUUGGACAAUGGGCGCAAGCCUGAUCCAGCCAUGCCGCGUGGAUGAUGAAGGCCUUAGGGUGUAAAAUCCUUCGGCGGGAAGAUAAUGACGGUACCCGCGAGAAGAAGCCCGGCUAACGUUCGCGCCAGCAGCCGC